GAAAAAUAUUUACCCUUCCAAAAGAUGUUCUCAAUAAUUAAUUUCCUAAAAAACCAAGACUGGAUACCAGCUGGCCUAAUAGACUAGAUAAAAGACUUCUGAAGAAGAAAAGAUUUCAGACAAAUUGGAUGAAGGAAAAAGCUCUAAUCCAGCUGGCAGUACCCAUGUGACAAUGAAACACCAACAAUUCUGCUAGAGGGAAUUCUGGAAAGGCUUUGCUUUCUUCACAUAAGGCUGGCACCUUCAAACUUCCCUUCCGGCCUUGAAUAUGCAUGAGAGCAGCCAUCUUGCCACUGAAAAAAAGUAAAAUCCAGCACCCUAGAGGAAGGGAAAGGGCCUGUGUCUCUGAUAAAAUUGUUAAGCAGCUGAACCAAGGUCAUCACCUGCUUACUGCCAGACUUCAUGUUAUGUGUAGAACUGUAGCAAUUACUCCUUUGCAACAGAAGGAAGAAAAGGACUAAAACCUUAACAUCCAGACUCAGGUUAAAACCCUUACCAAAGGAACUUCAGUAAAGACAUCCUAAUCUUGCUCUUGAAGACAGCUGCAAACCUUUGAUGUAAGGCCAUUCAUUCCUAUCAAAGAGUCAGACCCAUCAUCUCUCUCUCUCUCUUUC
ensembl:lncRNA